rnacentral:lncRNA from 1 species
CUUGAAGUCAUUAGGGAACCUCCAGAACACUAGAGGAAUAAAUAAGGUGGCUAAUUUUUCUGUCUUUUCCUCUGAGGAGCUUCUUGUGGUCUGACAGAGCAUAUCGGAUUUCUUACAUAAAAUGUAGAGUUGUCAACAUUCAGAUGCUUCAAUGGCCAAGACUGUGGUAUUCAGUUUCUAUCAGCAUGUACAGGAUAUCCUGCCUGGUUUUGACCUCAGGAGAAGAAUGACGGAGAAUGCCUAGGGGGAACUUGUGAACUUUACCUGUCAGAUCUUUCCUCCUGGUGUGAUGUGACGUGCUCUCUCUCACCUCUCAGGAAGCAACGGUGAGAUUUCAUAGCUCACUGUCUUCUGGUUGGAGCAAAGGGGUGGCAAACAGAGGUCAAGUUUGGGUCAUGGGGAAACUGGGAAAAUCCAUUCAAAAUGCUCCUUGCCAUGUGUGAGGAGUACAGUGGCUCCCAAAAACAGUCGCUUGCUGUGUC